rnacentral:misc_RNA from 1 species
AACUUUUAGCAACGGAUCACUUGGCUCUCGCAUCGCUGAAGAACGCAGCGAAAUGCGAUAAGUAGUGUGAAUUGCAGAAUUCAGUGAGUCAUCGAAUCUUUGAACGCACCUUGCUCCCUUUGGCCAUUCCGAAGGGCAUGCCUGUUUGAGUAUCAUGAACACCUCAGCUCUUCAUGGUUUUUCUGUGUUGAGCUUGGACUUUGGGGGUUUUGCUGGCCUAUGGUCGGCUCCUCUAAAAUGAAUCAGCUUGCCAGUGUUUGGUGGGCAUCACAGGUGUGAUAACUAUGUACGCUUGUGGUUUUCCACCAGGUAACCUUCAGCAAUGGAGGUUCGCUGGAGCUCACAGAUGUCUCUCCUCGGUGAGGACGACCCUUUGAAUGUUUGAUCUCAAAUCAGGUAGGACUACCCGCUGAACUUAAGCAUAUCAAUAAGCGGAGGCU